GUGAACGCUGGCGGUAGGCCUAACACAUGCAAGUCGGACGGCAGCACAGUAAGAGCUUGCUCUUACGGGUGGCGAGUGGCGGACGGGUGAGGAAUACAUCGGAAUCUACUUUUUCGUGGGGGAUAACGUAGGGAAACUUACGCUAAUACCGCAUACGACCUACGGGUGAAAGCAGGGGAUCUUCGGACCUUGCGCGAUUGAAUGAGCCGAUGUCGGAUUAGCUAGUUGGCGGGGUAAAGGCCCACCAAGGCGACGAUCCGUAGCUGGUCUGAGAGGAGGAUCAGCCACACUGGAACUGAGACACGGUCCAGACUCCUACGGGAGGCAGCAGUGGGGAAUAUUGGACAAUGGGCGCAAGCCUGAUCCAGCCAUACCGCGUGGGUGAAGAAGGCCUUCGGGUUGUAAAGCCCUUUUGUUGGGAAAGAAAAGCAGCAGGUUAAUACCCCGCUGUUCUGACGGUACCCAAAGAAUAAGCACCGGCUAACUUCGUG
rnacentral:rRNA from 1 species